AGAGUUUGAUCCUGGCUCAGAAUGAACGCUGGCGGCGUGCCUAACACAUGCAAGUCGAGCGAGAAAGUUCCCUUCGGGGAGCGAGUACAGCGGCGGACGGGUGAGUAACGCGUGGACGAUCUACCCAAGGAUUCGGGAUAACCUUGCGAAAGCGGGGCUAAUACCGAAUGGUCUGGGCAUUUUAAAAUGUGCCUGGUAAAGGUGGCCUCUGAUGUAAGCUAUCGUCUUUGGAUGGGUCCGCGUCCCAUUAGCUUGUUGGUAGGGUCAUGGCCUACCAAGGCGACGAUGGGUAGCUGGUCUGAGAGGAUGAUCAGCCACACUGGGACUGGAACACGGCCCAGACUCCUACGGGAGGCAGCAGUGGGGAAUAUUGGGCAAUGGGCGCAAGCCUGACCCAGCAACGCCGCGUGAGGGAAGAAGGUCUUCGGAUCGUAAACCUCAGUCAGGAGGGAAGAAAUGGGUUGUCCUGAACAGGGAUGGCCUUUGACGGUACCUCCAGAGGAAGCACCGGCCAACUCCGUGCCAGCAGCCGCGGUAAUACGGAGGUGCAAGCGUUAUUCGGAAUCACUGGGCGUAAAGCGCACGUAGGCGGCUUUGCAAGUCAGGUUGUGAAAGCCCUCGGCUCAACCGAGGAAUUGCACUUGAAACUGU
rnacentral:rRNA from 1 species